CCUACGGGUGGCAGCAGUGGGGAAUCUUCCGCAAUGCUCGUAAGAGUGACGCAGCGACGCCGCGUGAAUGACGAAGGCCUUCGGGUCGUAAAGUUCUUUUGUUAGGGAAGAAAAUGCAUAUAAGUAACUGUGUACGUAUUGACGGUACCUGAAUAAACAGCCACGGCUAACUCCGUGCCAGCAGCCGCGGUAAUACGGAGGGGGCGAGCGUUGUUCGGAGUGACUGGGCGUAAAGCGCACGUAGGCGGUGUUGUAAGUCAUAAGUCAAAGACUAGAGCUCAACGGUAGUGAGGCUUGUGAUACUGUAGAACGUGAGUGUCAAAGAGGAGAGCAGAAUUCCUGGUGUAGCGGUGAAAUGCGUAGAUAUAAGGAGGAAUACCAGUGGCGAAGGCGACAAUCUGGCUGGAAACUGACGCUGAGGUGCGAAAGCGUGGGUAGCAAACAGGAUUAGAUACCCGAGUAGUC
rnacentral:rRNA from 1 species